rnacentral:rRNA from 1 species
AAUCCUGACACAGGGAGGUAGUGACAAGAAAUAACAAUACAGGGCUACUUCUAGUCUUGUAAUUGGAAUGAGUACAACUUACAUCUCUUCACGAGGAUCAAUUGGAGGGCAAGUCUGGUGCCAGCAGCCGCGGUAAUUCCAGCUCCAAUAGCGUAUAUUAAAGUUGUUGCAGUUAAAAAGCUCGUAGUCGGAUUUCGGGGCGGGCCSAGCGGUCUGCCGAUGGGUAUGCACUGUUCGGCGCGUCCUUCUUUCCGGAGACUAGUUCUACUCUUAACUGAGCGGGACUGGGAGACGGAUCGUUUACUUUGAAAAAAUCAGAGUGUUUCAAGCAGGCAGCUCGCUCUUGCAUGGAUUAGCAUGGGAUAAUGAAAUAGGACUCUGGUGCUAUUUUGUUGGUUUCGAACACUGGAGUAAUGAUUAACAGGGACAGUCAG